AAAAUUUAAAUGGCCGCAGUAUCCUAACUGUGCAAAGGUAGCAUAAUCAUUAGUCUUUUAAUUGAAGGCUGGUAUGAAUGGUUGGACGAGGUAUUAGCUGUUUCAAGUAAAUUUAUUAUAGAAUUUUAUUUUUUAGUCAAAAAGCUAAAAUUUAGUUAAAAGACGAGAAGACCCUAUAAAUCUUUAUUUUAUUAAUUAUUUUAAUUAUAAAGAUAAAUUUUAUUAUAAUAAUUAAUAAAAUUUUAUUGGGGUGAUAUUAAAAUUUAUAGAACUUUUAAUUUUUAUUAAACAUUAAUUAAUGAGUAAUUGAUCCGUUAUUAACGAUUAAAAAUUUAAGUUACUUUAGGGAUAACAGCGUAAUUUUUUUGGAGAGUUCUUAUCGAUAAAAAAGAUUGCGACCUCGAUGUUGGAUUAAGAAAAAUUUUAGGUGUAGCCG
rnacentral:rRNA from 1 species